GACGAACGCUGGCGGCGUGCUUAACACAUGCAAGUCGAACGGUAAGGCCCUUCGGGGUACACGAGUGGCGAACGGGUGAGUAACACGUGGGUGAUCUGCCCUGCACUUCGGGAUAAGCCUGGGAAACUGGGUCUAAUACCGGAUAGGACCACUGCCUGCAUGGGUGGUGGUGGAAAGCUUUUGCGGUGUGGGAUGGGCCCGCGGCCUAUCAGCUUGUUGGUGAGGUGAUGGCCUACCAAGGCGACGACGGGUAGCCGGCCUGAGAGGGUGACCGGCCACACUGGGACUGAGAUACGGCCCAGACUCCUACGGGAGGCAGCAGUGGGGAAUAUUGCACAAUGGGCGCAGGCCUGAUGCAGCAACGCCGCGUGAGGGAUGACGGCCUUCGGGUUGUAAACCUCUUUUAGUAGGGAAGAAGCGAAAGUGACGGUACCUGCAGAAAAAGCACCGGCUAACUACGUGCCAGCAGCCGCCGCCG
rnacentral:rRNA from 1 species